rnacentral:tRNA from 1 species
GGACGGAUAGCUCAGCUGGAAGAGCAGUUGACUGAAAAUCAACAGGUCGGCAGUUCAAAUCUGCCUCCGUCCACCA